rnacentral:rRNA from 1 species
UACUCAGUUCGGAUUGUAGGCUGCAACCCGCCUACAUGAAGUCGGAAUUGCUAGUAAUCGUGGAUCAGCAUGCCACGGUGAAUACGUUCCCGGGCCUUGUACACACCGCCCGUCAAACCAUGAGAGUUGGCAACACCCGAAGCCUGUAGCUUAACCGCAAGGAUGGCGCAGUCGAAGGUGGGGUCGAUGAUUAGGGUUAAGUCGUAACAAGGUAGC